CUCUUUGCACUCAAACGGCUAUAACUUUAGAUAUAGAGGUCCAAAUGAUGCGGUUCCACUUGCGUUGGAAAGCUAACGUCUGGGACUUCGAUUUGAUAUGUAAUAUACCAUAGUUGUCUUGAGGCUAGGGAA